GGAGUUAGCCGGUGCUUCUUCUGUGAGUGAUGUCCUUCCUGCCGGUUAUUGACCCGCAGGCCUUCUUCCUCACUGAAAGUGCUUUACAACCCGAAGGCCUUCUUCACACACGCGGCAUGGCUGGAUCAGGGUUGCCCCCAUUGUCCAAUAUUCCCCACUGCUGCCUACCGUAGGAGUCUGGGCCGUGUCUCAGUCCCAGUGUGGCUGAUCAUCCUCUCAGACCAGCUACGGAUCGUCGCCUUGGUGAGCCGUUACCUCACCAACCAGCUAAUCCGACAUAGGCUCAUCCGAUAGCGCGAGGCCCGAAGGUCCCCCGCUUUCCCCCGUAGGGCGUAUGCGGUAUUAGCCUGGGUUUCCCCAGGUUAUCCCCCACUACCGGGCAGAUUCCUAUGCAUUACUCACCCGUCCGCCGCUCGCCACCAGGGAGCAAGCUCCCCGUGCUGCCGCUCGACUUGCAUGUGUUAGGCCUGCCGCCAGCGUUCAAUCUGAGCCAGAAUCGAACCCUGA
rnacentral:rRNA from 1 species